AUAAAACCGAACGCUGAACAGUAACUUUAAAUAAAUGACAUCUUGAAAUGUUUGUUUUAAGGGAGAUUUAUGGAAAGGAAAGCAAGUUUCCAGGCUGGAGUAUGUAGAUGUAGGAGGACAGGAAGGAAGUGUGCUUGUGGAGUUUCUGUCAGAUGGUGUAUGUCUCCAUCUUCUGCAUGGAAUCUGGCAGAAUGACGCCCUCCAGAGGAUCAGGCUGACAGAACUCCACCACAAACUCUUCCUCGGCCUCCAGCGGCGUUCUGGACCAGGCAGACAUGUAAAGUCUUCCAGCCACUCCUCCAUACUCUUGCGGCAGUACAGAUUGAGGAAUGACUCGAUGGAGAGAAGCCAAAACUGAGCCAUGCAGGACAUACUGUUGGGAGGAGACAGACUUGUAUCAAAUAUUAUUGUGUUAGAAAUGUCUAUGCGUAAAUACCAGGAUAAGUAGCUAGUUAUUUGCCCUCUCUGCCAUUUUCUCUUUCAGAAAUGGCUUGAUUAUUGCAAAAAUACCCUUGAAGAUACGCGGCUCAUUUAUAAUGUUUACAGCCUUUAUUCUGAUUUGGAAGCCUUCCUGAAACACAAAAGCAACGGUCAGUCAGUACUAAAAAUCAACGACUUCAUCGUAACGAAUCACUGGGCUACUUUUGCAUGGUCUUACCUGAAAAAUACAGACAACUUUCUUUGCCAAAAGCGGUCCUGGAUUAGAGGCUUGAGAGAGGCCAACUCUUGUAUAAUCCACCAGGAAAACAAUUCCAUUCACUUGGGUUUCCUCAAGCUGAAUAAGCUUCUCUAAUGUCAAACAGAUAGCCCGAAUGUUGUCCACAAAUGGGUAAUCAUUAGGCCAUUUACCUUAGAAAACAAAAGACAUAAUUUUUUUUAUUUUCUUUAUUGUUAACAGUAUCACUGGGAUAAUAUAGAUAUCAAAGCAGCAAGAAAGAGAAACUGUGAUCAUCUUUUCGUCUCAAACGAAAACCCAGAUCUAGGACGUGCUUCACUGUGGAGGGCUUCAGGCCUUGAAACACCUCUGGCCAGGCUUUCCGGCUGGCAUGAUAAUUGCUAGUGUGAAUAUCAAUGUUUUGUUGGAAAAAUGUAGAUAUUGCCAAUACCAUGUUCAUAUUUUAUUUUAUACAAUGACAAUGUCCAACUUCCUGGUGACUAUUAAAUGAAACUAAUGAUGAUAUUAUUUUAUACAGCAUUUCCUACAUACAGCAAGAUCUUUUAUGAAGAACAACUGUAAAAGGACUCCUGGUGGUACUUUGGUGUUCAUGAAAUACUUUAAUUAAAUUAUGAAGCCAGGCAUGGUACUUUAAAAUGCUGAAUGAUUUUUAAACGUGUAAAAGUUGAUGCCCUUUAUGUAAAACUGAACAGAAAUCAAAAGAAAUAAACAACCUGCCAUCAGUUCCUUGUGCAGUGAAAACAAGCCGUUCUACCAUUGGUUACUCUUUGUUAUGUGAUGUAUGACGCUAGAUGUUUAAUCA